UCUCUUUACACACAUGUAUCCCCAAGAGAUUUUGAGAGCGCUGAUUGGCUUUCUCGACAACGCCAUCUGUGACGUGUGACUAUUUCAUUCUGCCGUGCUUGUUAUUUUCAGCAUAGAGCAAUUUCUAUACUCCAGUUUUUGCUAACAAACUUGAAAUGUCAGUUUUUUCAACAGAGAAACUGCCUUCCUUAUUUAAAAAUGAAGUAGAAUAUAUUUCCCCAAAUACCAUAACCCUUAGAAGCAAUGUUCAAAAUUUAAACGAUUGCAACAAGUGGGUAAUGGAAUUUGGGGAACUUACCAAUGCGAAUUGGAAUUCUAAAACUUCCAAACCUCAUAGAUAAAGAUCUGUUUGUAGGCUUUUUCCUCAAACUUUUUCGUAUCAUACAUUUGAAUCAGCUGAUGGGACAGAUGAAAGUUUGAAUCCAGUAAUUUUCCUUCAUAGUUUAUGGAGCACAAAGGAAAUGUGGGAAGAUAUUCCUCAAAUUAUAGCUGACAAAACAAAGAGAAAGACGUAUGCAUAUGAUGCCAGGAACUUCGGUGGCAGCGGUUACAGCGAUGUCUUCCAUUCCGAUUUAAAUAUAGACGAUCUCUUCUACUUUAUGGAUAACAUUAAAGUUUCUAAAGCAAUAAUAGUUGGUCACAGUAUGGGAGGUAUUACAGCUUGCAGAGCAGCUUUAAAAAAAGUAAGUAGUAUAUCCUAUU